GCUCUGGUAGUAUAGUCUGGCCCAGUAUUUCCGGCUGUCACCCGGAAGAUCCCGGGUUCGAAUCCCGGCCAGAGCGCCA
rnacentral:tRNA from 1 species